GAUGAACGCUGACAGAAUGCUUAACACAUGCAAGUCUACUUGAUCCUUCGGGUGAUGGUGGCGGACGGGUGAGUAACGCGUAAAGAACUUGCCCUGCAGUCUGGGACAACAUUUGGAAACGAAUGCUAAUACCGGAUAUUAUGUGAGUUUCGCAUGAAAUUCAUAUGAAAGCUAUAUGCGCUGCAGGAGAGCUUUGCGUCCUAUUAGCUAGUUGGUGAGGUAACGGCUCACCAAGGCGAUGAUAGGUAGCCGGCCUGAGAGGGUGAACGGCCACAAGGGGACUGAGACACGGCCCUUACUCCUACGGGAGGCAGCAGUGGGGAAUAUUGGACACUGGACCAAAAGUCUGAUCCAGCAAUUCUGUGUGCACGAUGAAGUUUUUCGGAAUGUAAAGUGCUUUCAGUUGGGACGAAGUAAGUGACGGUACCAACAGAAGAAGCGACGGCUAAAUACGUGCCAGCAGCCGCGGUAAUACGUAUGUCGCAAGCGUUAUCCGGAUUUAUUGGGCGUAAAGCGCGUCUAGGCGGUUUGGUAAGUCUGAUGUGAAAAUGCGGGGCUCAACUCCGUAUUGCGUUGGAAACUGCCAAACUAGAGUACUGGAGAGGUGGGCGGAACUACAAGUGUAGCGGUGAAAUGCGUAGAUAUUAGGAGGAACACCAGUGGCGAAGGCGGCUUGCUGGACGAUAACUGACGCUGAGGCGCGAAAGCGUGNGGAGCAAACAGG
rnacentral:rRNA from 1 species